GGAACAACCAAUUCUGGUGUUUAAUACGGAAGGGCUGUUCCUACUAGUAGUCCAAGGUUCAGAAAAUCUCUACUAGGAAGUGAAGAUGCAUCAUUUUGAGGCUGCCUCACUAGUUGGCUUAUAGUCUCCUUCAAAAACGACUCUGUUGUCGUCCAUCACUGUUUGAAAUUCCUCUAAUUGCUUGGAUGCUUGAUUGAGAAUGUAAGAAAUGGACCUAUCUUGGUUUCUGAACGAAACGUUUCUGGCCUUACAAAGCAUCCACAAAGUGAAAGCCUCCAACCNGCUUCCAGUUAUCACAGGACGUAUAGGUUGGAGGCUUUCACUUUGUGGAUGCUU
rnacentral:misc_RNA from 1 species